rnacentral:rRNA from 1 species
GGGAUGAGCUUGCGGCCCAUUAGCUAGUUGGUGAGGUAAAGGCCCACCAAGGCAACGAUGGGUAGCCGGCCUGAGAGGGUGAACGGCCACAUUGGGACUGAGACACGGCCCAGACUCCUACGGGAGGCAGCAGCUAAGAAUCUUCCGCAAUGGGCGAAAGCCUGACGGAGCGACGCCGCGUGAACGAAGAAGGCAGAGAUGUUGUAAAGUUCUUUUCCUGUUGAAGAAUAAGUGGAAGAGGGAAUGCUUCCAUGAUGACGUUAGACAGGGAAUAAGCCACGGCUAAUUACGUGCCAGCAGCCGCGGUAACACGUAAGUGGCGAGCGUUGUUCGGAUUCAUUGGGCGUAAAGGGCGUGUAGGCGGCGUAUCAAGCUUGGUGUGAAAUAUUUCGGCUUAACCGAAAAGACGCGCUGAGAACUGAUAUGCUAGAGUUCAAGAGGGGGAGUUAGAAUUCCAGGUGUAGGGGUGAAAUCUGUAGAUAUCUGGAAGAAUACCGGUGGCGAAGGCGAACUCCUGGCAAUGAACUGACGCUGAGGCGCGAAAGCGUGGGUAGCGAACAGGAUUAGAUACCCUGGUAGUCCACCUCUUAAACGAUGUGCACUAAGUGUUGGGGGGUUUACCUCCAGUGCUGAAGCGAACGUGAUAA